GCUGAGUGUAGUGGCGUGUGCUUGUAGUCUCAGCUACUCAGGAGGCAGAAAUGGGAGGAUCACUUGAGCCCGGGAGGUCGAGGCUGUAGUGAGCCAUGUUCGCACUACUGCACUCUAGCCUGGGCAACAAAGUGAGACCCUGUCUCAA
rfam:Homo sapiens chromosome 12, GRCh38 reference primary assembly.